rnacentral:lncRNA from 1 species
GAAAGCAAGCAAUCAAGCAAAGUUGUAAAGCAUCCAAAGCAUUGUAAAGCUCUCAAGUUCUCUUAAUAAAAGAGUUCUUUCUUCCAACUUCUAGUUUCCCUCGCCAAGUUUCGACAAGCUUAGUCUUUCUAAAGUUCUGCUAAGCUUCCGGGUAGGCUAACUAGCUAAUUUUGGCAUUGAAAGUUCGCUAGGCCGGACAGAUCGUCUUGUUUGAGUUACGGUCUCGUCACAAUACCGUUUGGUCAAAAUUGGUCAUAAUAU